AACUAACAAGGAUUCCCCUAGUAACGGCGAGUGAAGAGGGAAAAGCCCAAGAUUGAAAGCUGGCGCCUUCGGCGUCCGCAUUGUAAUCUCAAGAAGUGUUUUCCGCUUCGGACCAAGCCUAAGUUUCCUGGAAAGGAGCAUCGUAGAGGGUGAAAAUCCCGUACAUGGUUUGGAGCGCCCGGAGCUUUGUGAUACACUUUCUAAGAGUCGAGUUGUUUGGGAAUGCAGCUCAAAAUGGGUGGUAAAUGCCAUCUAAGGCUAAAUAUUGGGGAGAGACCGAUAGCGAACAAGUACAGUGAUGGAAAGAUGAAAAGAACUUUGAAAAGAGAGUUAAACAGUACGUGAAAUUGCCAAAAGGGAAGGGUAGGAGGUCAGAGAUGCGGCCUGGGAUUCAGCCUUGCUUUUGCUUGGUGUAUUUCCCAGAUUGCAGGCCAACGUCGGUUUUGGGCACUGGAGAAUGGUAAGAGGAAUGUGGCACUCUUCGGAGUGUGUUAUAGCCUCUUACUGGAUGCAGCGACCGAGACCGAGGAACGCAGCGUACUCGUAAGAGCGGGCCUUCGGGCACCUUACG
rnacentral:rRNA from 1 species